UAGAGUACCUUAGCAAAACUUUGCUAUCAGGUGGGCAAUUUCUUACGCGUAAAUAAAAUGCUAUGCAUGUGUUAUGCCUUUAAAAUGUAAAAAUUGGAUCUUCAAGUGUGGUAUGCUUUAUUAUGCUUUACGCUAAAUGAUUUACGCUUGAUUACACUUAUUUACGCUUGAAUGCUUUACGCUGAUAAGUUUAUGCCUGUGUUUGAUGCUUGCGUCUGUUGGGGGAGGCCUCCCUCAACAGUACGAUGCCGUGUCCGCUGAGGAGGGCCUUCCUCACGGCGCGAUGCCCGUGUCCGCUGAGAGAGGCCUCUCUCGCGGCGCGUAUGCCAGUAUGCCAGUAUGCCAGUGUUACAGCGUCUAGUUGGGGGAGGCCUCCCUCAAUAGUACGAUGCCGUGACCGCUGAGGGAGGCCCCCUUCACGGCGCGAUGCCCGUGUUCGUUGGGGAAGGCCUUCUCCACGACACGAUGCGUGUUUAUGAUUGUUAAUGAUGAAGAAUGCCCUUAUGCUAUUUAUGAAUUUGGAAAUGUUUAAUGAGCAAAUGAUAUGAAAGAAACUCAUGCCUCUUAUGCGAUAUUGUGAAAUUGUUAAUGAUGUUAUGUUAUAUGCUUGGCAACUGCCCACUAAGUACUCUUGUACUUAGCCCUUCGUAUGUUUAUGUUUGUGCAGGUUGAGCUGUGAUGGGCGAUGAAGUGUUGCUGAGUGGAGUUUUUGUUGAACUUAAAGUAGGCUCAGAAAGGAUACAUGUCUUCAUACAUGUAUCUCAGUUAUGCUUUCCGCUGUAAACACUGAUUAUUUCAGUUACACCUUCCGUUGCAAACUCUGAUAAUGUUUUAGCCAAGCCCCUAACGAUGCCUUUUUCCUUUUAAGGAAUAUAACGCGUAUACAAGUUCUUUGAGUACCCU
rnacentral:lncRNA from 1 species